CACAAUAAACAUAUGAAGGCUGCACCCGCCACAGGCGGCAAGGCUGGAGUAUUUUAUAUUACCCUUGUCUUUUGCGCACUUGUUGUUCCUGGGCGGGUUCGCCCGCCUCCAGGACCACAUGAUAAACCUUUUAUGCAGUUGCAAUCAGCGUCAGUACAACAAAUGUAAAUCAUUUAC
rnacentral:misc_RNA from 1 species